rnacentral:sRNA from 2 species
UACGCAAUGACAGCUACGGCGUCAAAUGUAAGGCCUGUAAUGUUAAGUUUUAAGGGUAGUCCAACGAAACUGGGCAUCGGGUAGUCAAGGAGGAUCUCCGCGGUUAAUGAAAGACUGAUAUUGCCUGCAUAUUUCGUCCUACAGAAGACUUGGAAAUCCUCCGCUUUUUGUUCGCGCAUUCGCCGGGGUGGGGUAUCGUCGAGGGGAUGGUUAGGAGAAGUAGGUGGGAUGUUGGGUUCAAGGGCUUGCCCUUGGUUAUUUGGCAUUCCUUGCGAAGCAUGGGAAUGGUGUGGAUCACUGAUACUCAUUGAGUCGCGCGAUGGCAGUGUGUUCCCAGUAUUCGC